rnacentral:rRNA from 1 species
GACGAACGCUUUCGGCGUGCUUAACACAUGCAAGUCGAACGGAAAGGCCCUGCUUUUGUGGGGUGCUCGAGUGGCGAACGGGUGAGUAACACGUGAGUAACCUGCCCUUGACUUUGGGACAACUUCAGGAAACUGGGGCUAAUACCGGAUAGGAGCUCCUGCUGCAUGGUGGGGGUUGGAAAGUUUCGGCGGUUGGGGAUGGACUCGCGGCUUAUCAGCUUGUUGGUGGGGUAGUGGCUUACCAAGGCUUUGACGGGUAGCCGGCCUGAGAGGGUGACCGGCCACAUUGGGACUGAGAUACGGCCCAGACUCCUACGGGAGGCAGCAGUGGGGAAUAUUGCACAAUGGGCGGAAGCCUGAUGCAGCAACGCCGCGUGCGGGAUGACGGCCUUCGGGUUGUAAACCGCUUUCGCCUGUGACGAAGCGUGAGUGACGGUAAUGGGUAAAGAAGCACCGGCUAACUACGUGCCAGCAGCCGCGGUGAUACGUAGGGUGCGAGCGUUGUCCGGAUUUAUUGGGCGUAAAGGGCUCGUAGGUGGUUGAUCGCGUCGGAAGUGUAAUCUUGGGGCUUAACCCUGAGCGUGCUUUCGAUACGGGUUGACUUGAGGAAGGUAGGGGAGAAUGGAAUUCCUGGUGGAGCGGUGGAAUGCGCAGAUAUCAGGAGGAACACCAGUGGCGAAGGCGGUUCUCUGGGCCUUUCCUGACGCUGAGGAGCGAAAGCGUGGGGAGCGAACAGGCUUAGGUACCCUGGUAGUCCACGCUGUAAACGGUGGGUACUAGGUGUGGGGUCCAUUCCACGGGUUCCGUGCCGUAGCUAACGCUUUAAGUACCCCGCCUGGGGAGUACGGCCGCAAGGCUAAAACUCAAAGGAAUUGACGGGGCCCCGCACAAGCGGCGGAGCAUGCGGAUUAAUUCGAUGCAACGCGUAGAACCUUACCUGGGUUUGACAUGGAUCGGGAGUGCUCAGAGAUGGGUGUGCCUCUUUUGGGGUCGGUUCACAGGUGGUGCAUGGCUGUCGUCAGCUCGUGUCGUGAGAUGUUGGGUUAAGUCCCGCAACGAGCGCAACCCUUGUUCACUGUUGCCAGCACGUUAUGGUGGGGACUCAGUGGAGACCGCCGGGGUCAACUCGGAGGAAGGUGGGGAUGACGUCAAGUCAUCAUGCCCCUUAUGUCCAGGGCUUCACGCAUGCUACAAUGGCUGGUACAGAGAGUGGCGAGCCUGUGAGGGUGAGCGAAUCUCGGAAAGCCGGUCUCAGUUCGGAUUGGGGUCUGCAACUCGACCUCAUGAAGUCGGAGUCGCUAGUAAUCGCAGAUCAGCAACGCUGCGGUGAAUACGUUCCCGGG